UCACAUCUCAGAGUCACUGGAUUUAAUCAGACUGUUUUUCAUCUAACAACUGAAACAAACCACUGGAAAAGGGAUAAGAUGAAUGAGAGGAAACACCAAUUUGAAAAUCCCAACAAUGUAUAUAGCAUUUUCUGCCCAAGAAAAGCUAACUAUCAUUGCUUUCUACUGAUUCAAAAAGAGAGGUUAAAAGAAAGUCUCUUUACAUGUUUUGGAGGCCACCCACUACAAUACCCAAUGAAUUCACCUAACAGAACCAGGUCAACUUUAUUAUCAAAGAUGUGCCCCUAAUAAACAGUUUAAGUCCAGCUAUAAACAUUGGAAAUGGUAAAAGAUACAACAAAAACAGAGUUCUAAAUGGUGAAAAAUGCUUGAGAUCACAGGACUGGAGUAACAGUACCGUAUCAGGUGGUCUUGUGCCUCAACUCUACCUGCUCUAAAUGAAACAGAAGUAGCACUGACAUCAGGUGAACCCAACGCUACCAGCAAGGGAGAGCAACACCAGAAAUAAAUGGUAAGUGGAAAUACUUUUCUUUUCCAUUAGGUGUUAGACUCCCGUUUUUAGUGUGAUGGGGAUGUGAAUCAUGCAAGAGUGACUCACCUAUAGCAACCAUAUUGAUGCAAAAAUCCUUUUAAUAUAGUGCGCUCAAUAUUCUCCUCUUUACCUAGAGAUACUAGUAGUAGUCUCACCACACCCUAUGAAAGACAGCCAGUGGCCUGGCCUGGAGAAACUGCUCUACUCUCUCAGACAGGAGCAACAGGGAUCAUUGGGAUACCCAAAAGCACUAGACAAACUACCCAGACACCCCAAAAAUACAAUGGAUCUGAAAGUUAAACUAUUAUUGAAUCUCAGCCUACAAAAGUAGACCAAGAUGCAUAUG
rnacentral:lncRNA from 1 species